CCCCGCCCUCGCGGUUUCUGAAGGGGGGAGGCUGCCACUGCUUCGUUUUCUUAUCGUUAAAAAGGGCUUUUUGGUGGAAGCUGAUAAGGCCGGGGGGUGCUGGGCUGCAGUACUGUCCUAAGCGGGAGAACGAGCUUCCCGUGCCUUCUGGCAGCGGGGAGGGACCCUGCCCGCCUCGGGCUGCGGCUUCGCUCCCGGUCCAGGGAACCCCCGGGCGAGUCAGAGGGUGCUGCUUUUUUCCCUCAGGUCCGUCACAGCCGGCUGAAGCCCCAUCCGCCGGUGAUGUACAGCCGAGGAUUCGUGCAGCCACCGCCGAGGGAGCCAUCCCUCUCGGCAGUCUUGACUGCAGAUUUUUACGCUCCUUAGACUUAGUUAAUUUUUAAGAAGUCUUACUAUGAUUCAGAGAAGUCCUUGAAGUUGCUAUUGCCGAUUUUGCGUUACUAGUUCUGUUCCUGAACCUUUCCAGAGCAGAGCUGAGCGCUGGCGCGGCCGGGUCGCACAGCCCAGCGCGGUGUCUCAGCAGCAGCGCCGGCCCGAGCCCUGAACCGCGGGCUUACAGCCCUGUGUCCCCUCACGAGCAUUAUUUCUGAGUAGUUAACGUGUCCUUUAUCCAUUAUUGCAUCAUGUAACUCAGGGAACUGACAGACAGACAGCUCUAAUGACUUUUAUCUUUUUUUUUCUUUCCUUUUUUUUUUUUUUUAAGCUUAUGUUUGGGGUCCCAUAUGUUCCUUUCUAAAGAAGGCUAAGUCUCAGGAGGCUCAAGUAAUUGUGGUCAUCUGCUGCAUCAAUGUGAUUUGUUUAGCCAUACUGUGUAAUUUCCUCCUCCUUGUAUUUGGGAUUCUUUUCACAGAAGCUGGGACAUUCAGGAAUGGUAAACAUUCUCAAAUCUGAACAACUGAGAAUGAAUAAUAUUAUACGGCUGUAUCCAUUUCAAAAGAUUUUAUGUUCUCUGUAUAAGCACCUACCACGUUAUAAUGCAGUUAGGCUUGAACAUUUUUUUGUAUGUAAUUCUAAUAAAAUGCCUGUGCAAUUCAAAAGUAGUUGACGGCAUCAGCUAAAAACUGCAAUGAUUGCAUACGGAUAAAAAGGAGAUACCUGAUUUGAGUAUACCCAUAAAAAACUGUUUCUAUGCAGUUCUGUCAGCAAAAAUAUGACCAGUACUCCUGAGCAAUGAUCCUGCCUGAACUUGUUUCUGUGAUUUCACUGCCUUAGCAGAAGCCCUCCAUAUGGCCAUGUGAUUGCUGCUGUGCUGCUUCACGUGAUCCAGCGUUCUGGCACAAAGGCUCUGAGCUCGUACAGAUGAUUGUUAAACGUCAUGAGACUCUGAAAGGUAGAGUAGGCAAGAGGAGGAGGAAGCCAAGAAAAGAACUGUGUGGGAGUUGCACUGAAAAAUGGAUCUGGGCAAAAAAAAAUGAAGCACUGGAGAAGCAACGGGAGAGGCAGGAAGAAAAUCGAUGAUGGUGUUCAUAAAAGCAGUGGAGGAGGAAGAGAGACCAAGAAGAUAAAAAUGUGAAUCUCUUGAAGAAAAACUUGAAAGCCUGGAUGCUGAAGAUCUCAUGUCUCAUCUGUCACAACCAGAAACCUACCUAGAUGAGGAGAAAAGAUCAACAAUUUCCUGUUCAACCUCAUGUAACACUACUUGGUCUGCCUGUCUUGGUAACAGCAUGAAUUUAUACCAAGACAGAAGUAAAUCAUGCAGUUUUCAAGAAGGUGGGAAAGCACUGAGAAUGACAGUCUCCAGUCCUUGAAGGUAGUUAAAAAUGUGGAAUAAAUAGCAUUAUAUUCUCUAAACAGC